CGGACGGGUGAGUAACGCGUGAGUAACCUGCCUUCAAGAGGGGGAUAACAUUCUGAAAAGAAUGCUAAUACCGCAUGAUAUAUCGGAACCACAUGGUUCUGAUAUCAAAGAUUUUAUCGCUUGAAGAUGGACUCGCGUCCGAUUAGUUAGUUGGUGAGGUAACGGCUCACCAAGACCGCGAUCGGUAGCCGGACUGAGAGGUUGAACGGCCACAUUGGGACUGAGACACGGCCCAGACUCCUACGGGAGGCAGCAUG
rnacentral:rRNA from 1 species